UACAUGUGGGGCAAGCGUUGUUCGGAAUUACUGGGCAUAAAGGGUGCGUAGGUGGCUUGUUAAGUCAGGGGUGAAAGUUUUCGGCCCAACCGGAAAAUGGCCUUUGAUACUGGCGAGCUCGAGUGCGUGAGGGGUAACCGGAAUGAGCAGUGUAGCGGUGAAAUGCGUAGAUAUUGCUCGGAAGGCCAACGGCGAAGGCAGGUUACUGGUGCGCAACUGACACUGAGGCACGAAAGCGUGGGGAGCAAACAGG
rnacentral:rRNA from 1 species